rnacentral:rRNA from 1 species
AUGAAAAUAAUUACCUAGAACUAUUGGGGGCUUGGGAGCCCUUCGAUAGUUUGAAGUCUUCUAGAGGUCCAGAGGACUGAAGAUCCUGAUGCGCUAUUUCUCUCUAAAACUAAAAUGAGGGAGAAUGAGAUGGAGAUAUUUUAGUGGAAAUUGAAUAUGGUGAAAAUGGUAGUGAAGGAUUGUGACAGCCGGAGUGGAGGUUUAGCCAUGUUUAGGAAGAGGGGGUGUAGGGGAACCUUGGGUGGAAGUGUAGGUACCGUAUUGAUGUUGAUGUGGUGUCAAAGGAUAGAACCAAGUGGAGGUUGA